GCCUGCUAUCCUAGCCUGCGCCCGCUAAGCUUUUUAUGUGGAAUACCUGAUGCGGCCCAGCCUCACCCAGACUCUGCCUCCAGCGACCCCCAGUCCUGUCUGCCUCUUGACCAGGAACCAGACUCACUGGAGAGGAAAUAACAGGAACAUCUGAACAUUCUCCAUCCUGCAGGACAAGUUUUCUCUGUAACACACAACAUUAGAAAUUAGACAAGAAUCAAGUCUGUCUGUUUCCAAAGUAUGAGGGUUAAAACAACAUAACAUGUGACUAGAGUUGACUUGUUGAUAUUCUACCAACUAUGGAGCAUUUCUGGUGCUGAUUUUUAGCUGCAGUUCUGUGGUAUGCAUACAAUUUUUGUGAUUAUUGCAUCUUUCAAAUUAUUUUGAUGACAUCAGUUUUUAUUUGAAGAUAAUGAAUCAAACUGUUGAUUUCAGCUCAUUCUUUCUGUGUCUCCAUGUCAGAUUUUGAGGCGGGAUACUAAUACUGGAUGACACCACAGAAAUAAACACAUGGAUUUAUCAAAAUCUCAAAUCUCAAAAUCUCCCGCUCCCUUUCUUUGACAGCUAGUUUGACUCACUGUUUGAUCAUGAGCUCAAUACCAAGGUUUGGCCAGCAGAUGCCUCCCUUUGAAUGUAUAAAAUGCUUUGAAACCAUUCUCAGCAGUUCUUCCAAAGCGAGUGGCAAAAGCUUUGUGUCUCCAAUCACAACAUGCUUUAAAUCAUCAUACAAGGAUCUCACAAAGCUCAGCUUUCACACCACCAGAUGAAAGUAAAAUUUGAAUCAACAAAAAUUCAUGUAAUACCACCACUAACAUUACAUUUGAGUCAGAGUCUUGCACCAGGUAGCUCAAAAAAUCAUCAAUCCUUUAAUCCUUUUAUAAAACUUUAAAUCAGCCUACAGUUAAACCAGUGAUCUUUGUGCUAUUAAGCAAACAUCUGUUUAUCCUAGUUAAGGCUAACCUGACUUGUUUUUUGGUCAUGUGAAAGUAACAAAUAAAGUGUUGUUAACUGAGUGUGUAGUCUGUUGAUUAUAGGUCAGGUUUCAUGUUACAUUAACAGGUCAAGUCAGGUGCAGGUCUCUAAAACUGGACUUGUGAGUGCUUUGUUUUGAAUAAGACAACCAGAGAUUGUCUGAAGUACUUCUGAGUAACGUUGGACCAGUGGA